rnacentral:rRNA from 1 species
UACGUAGGGUGCAAGCGUUGUCCGGAAUUAUUGGGCGUAAAGAGCUCGUAGGCGGUUUGUUGCGUCUGCUGUGAAAUCCCGAGGCUCAACCCCGGGUCUGCAGUCGAUACGAGCAAACUAGAGUGUUGCAGGGGAGACUGGAAUUCCUGGUGUAGCGGUGAAAUGCGCAGAUAUCAGGAGGAACACCGGUGGCGAAGGCGGGUCUCUGGGCAACAACUGACGCUGAGGAGCGAAAGCGUGGGGAGCGAACAGG